GACGACGCUGGCGGCGUGCUUAACACAUGCAAGGCGAACGAGUGGCGAACGGGUGAGUAAUGUCUGGGGAACGGCGCGAUAGAGGGGGAGAACUAGUGGAAACGGUGGCUAAUACCGCAUACUAUCGGAUGGCCCCAUAGGGGAUUAGCUAGUAGGGGGGGUAAAGGCUCACCUAGGCGACGAUCUCUAGCUGGUCUGAGAGGAUGAUCAGCCACACUGGGACGGAGACACGGCGCAGACUCGUACGGGAGGCUGCAGUGGGGAACAUUUCGCAAUGGGGGCAAGCCUGAUGCAGCCAUGCCGCUGGUAUGAGGAAGGCCUUAUGGUUGUAAAGUACUUUCGGCGGCGAGGCGUUGCCCGCAGCAGAAUCACCGGCUAACUACGUGCCAGCAGCCGCGGUAAUUC
rnacentral:rRNA from 1 species